CAGUAGCCACGGGAAUACGUAGGUGGCAAGCGUUGUCCGGAAUUAUUGGGCGUAAAGGGCUCGCAGGCGGUUUCUUAAGUUUGAUGUGAAAGCCCCCGGCUCAACCGGGGAGGGUCAUUGGAAACUGGGAAACUUGAGUGCAGAAGAGGAGAGUGGAAUUCCACGUGUAGCGGUGAAAUGCGUAGAGAUGUGGAGGAACACCAGUGGCGAAGGCGACUCUCUGGUCUGUAACUGACGCUGAGGAGCGAAAGCGUGGGGAGCGAACAGGAUUAGAUACCCCCGUAGUCCCUGUCUCUUAUAC
rnacentral:rRNA from 1 species